rnacentral:tRNA from 1 species
AACUUCGUGGUCGAGUGUUAAGGAUACUUGCCUCUCACUCUAGAGUCCCCGGUUCAAUCCCCGGUCGAGGAGCUA